CGACCCCAGAUAAGGCGAGAACACCUUCUGAGUUUAAGCAUAUAAUUAAGCAGAGGAAAAUAAACUUACAAGGAUUCCCCUAGUAACGACGAGCGAACCGGGAAGAGCCCAACAUGAAAAUCGGGUGGCAUCACUUCCUGAAUUGUAGUCUGUAUAAGCAUCCUUAGCGGCAGACUAGGCCCAAGUCCCCUGAAAGGGGGAACCUGAGAGGGUGACAACCACGUCGGGGCGGGACCCUGCCACACCACAAGGCGUUGUUGGCGAGUUGGGUUGUUUAGGAAUGAAGCCCUAAUCGGGUGGUAAAUUCCAUCCAAGGCUAAAUACGGGCGAGAGACCAAUAGCGAACAAGUACCGUGAGGGAAAUAUGAAAAGGACUUUGAAUAUAGAGGUAAAGAGUGCUUGAAAUUGCUGGGAGGGAAGAAUAUGGAGGCCAAUGAUGCGUCUCGGUCGUAUGCAAAACGAAUCAAGCUGGUCUGCCACUCAACUCGAGGUGUGAACCAGCACAUGCCAUUGCAUCGGUACAAGCGUGGGUGGAGUACUGCCUGUUGGUUUGCUGUUGUGGCGGGUGAGGAGCGGAGAAAUCAAGGGAGUCCACCACCACUCAUUUAAAUUUAUUUUUUAUCGCUUGCCAAUACUUCUUUUAGUUUGUUGAUAUUGAGAUCUCACAUGAGGUGGUUUAUAUCUAUGAGGAUUUAGGAUCAAUUUUUCAAGCCUGAAUUUGAUGUGUAAAUAUUUACGAAGGUAUUGGAUCCCUUAAUGACUCCUCAGUACUGUUGACAAGUUGAAUAAGUUUUGAAAUCACCAAGCAACCAUGCAGGAAACUCAAUGUUGCAUAGAAUAAGAGUUUUAUUUUAUUAUGAGUUUAAAAGUUAGUAAUUGAACCUUCAUCAUUGAAGUAAGAAAAGAAACGUGUCAAUUUUUUUGUAUAUUUGGAUAAUUUAGCCAAGAAAGGGAAACUUUCUAGGUUGGGAGGCGAGUGAGUCUCCAAACCUAGUGACUAAACCUUAUUGAGACUUAAGGUAUAUGAUUUACCCCCAAAAAGAAAAUAUGACUUAUUCAGUGAGGUUACUCAUUGUCCAAACCAACCGAUUGAGGUUAUUGACCCUUGCACUCAACAAAUUUCCUCCUUGGGGUAAAUCACUCACUUGUCCUUAUUUG
rnacentral:ncRNA from 1 species